CCUACGGGAGGCAGCAGUGGGGAAUAUUGCACAAUGGGCGCAAGCCUGAUGCAGCGACGCCGCGUGGGGGAUGACGGCCUUCGGGUUGUAAACUCCUUUCGCUAGGGACGAAGCUUUUUGUGACGGUACCUAGAUAAGAAGCACCGGCUAACUACGUGCCAGCAGCCGCGGUAAUACGUAGGGUGCGAGCGUUGUCCGGAAUUACUGGGCGUAAAGGGCUCGUAGGUGGUUUGUCGCGUCGUCUGUGAAAUUCCGGGGCUUAACUCCGGGCGUGCAGGCGAUACGGGCAUAACUUGAGUACUGUAGGGGUAACUGGAAUUCCUGGUGUAGCGGUGAAAUGCGCAGAUAUCAGGAGGAACACCGAUGGCGAAGGCAGGUUACUGGGCAGUUACUGACGCUGAGGAGCGAAAGCAUGGGUAGCGAACAGGAUUAGAUACCCUGGUAGUCCAUGCCGUAAACGGUGGGCGCUAGGUGUGAGGGUCUUUUCACGACUUUCGUGCCGUAGCUAACGCAUUAAGCGCCCCGCCUGGGGAGUACGGCCGCAAGGCUAAAACUUAAAUGAAUUGACGG
rnacentral:rRNA from 1 species